rnacentral:rRNA from 1 species
AAGUUGCAGGGUAUAGACCCGAAACCCGGUGAUCUAGCCAUGGGCAGGUUGAAGGUUGGGUAACACUAACUGGAGGACCGAACCGACUAAUGUUGAAAAAUUAGCGGAUGACUUGUGGCUGGGGGUGAAAGGCCAAUCAAACCGGGAGAUAGCUGGUUCUCCCCGAAAGCUAUUUAGGUAGCGCCUCGUGAAUUCAUCUCCGGGGGUAGAGCACUGUUUCGGCAAGGGGGUCAUCCCGACUUACCAACCCGAUGCAAACUGCGAAUACCGGAGAAUGUUAUCACGGGAGACACACGGCGGGUGCUAACGUCCGUCGUGAAGAGGGAAACAACCCAGACCGCCAGCUAAGGUCCCAAAGUCAUGGUUAAGUGGGAAACGAUGUGGGAAGGCCCAGACAGCCAGGAUGUUGGCUUAGAAGCAGCCAUCAUUUAAAGAAAGCGUAAUAGCUCACUGGUCGAGUCGGCCUGCGCGGAAGAUGUAACGGGGCUAAACCAUGCACCGAAGCUGCGGCAGCGACACUGUGUGUUGUUGGGUAGGGGAGCGUUCUGUAAGCCUGUGAAGGUGUGCUGUGAGGCAUGCUGGAGGUAUCAGAAGUGCGAAUGCUGACAUAAGUAACGAUAAAGCGGGUGAAAAGCCCGCUCGCCGGAAGACCAAGGGUUCCUGUCCAACGUUAAUCGGGGCAGGGUGAGUCGACCCCUAAGGCGAGGCCGAAAGGCGUAGUCGAUGGGAAACAGGUUAAUAUUCCUGUACUUGGUGUUACUGCGAAGGGGGGACGGAGAAGGCUAUGUUGGCCGGGCGACGGUUGUCCCGGUUUAAGCGUGUAGGCUGGUUUUCCAGGCAAAUCCGGAAAAUCAAGGCUGAGGCGUGAUGACGAGGCACUACGGUGCUGAAGCAACAAAUGCCCUGCUUCCAGGAAAAGCCUCUAAGCAUCAGGUAACAUCAAAUCGUACCCCAAACCGACACAGGUGGUCAGGUAGAGAAUACCAAGGCGCUUGAGAGAACUCGGGUGAAGGAACUAGGCAAAAUG